rnacentral:rRNA from 1 species
AGAGUUUGAUCCUGGCUCAGAUUGAACGCUGGCGGCAUGCUUUACACAUGCGAAGUCGAACGGCAGCACGGGGGCGAACCCUGGUGGCGAGUAGGCGAACGGGUGAGUAAUGCAUCGGAACGUAUCCUUGAGUGGGGGAUAACGCAGCGAAAAGUUGUGCUAAUACCGCAUAAGCUCUGAGGGAGGAAAAGCGGGGGGACCGAAAGGCCUCGCGCUGAAGGAGCGGGCCCGAUGUCCGAUUAGGCUAGUUGGUGAGGUAAAAGGCUUACCAAGGCGACGAUCGGUAGCUAGGUCUGGAGAGGAUGAUCAGCCACACUGGGACUGAGACACGG